ncrna:unclassified sequences engA RNA
CCCCUGAAUAGAAAAGAGGGGAUACUCUUGCCAGAGAGGUAAGGGCCGGAGUUGGUCAGCUUCGGAAAAUAUAUUAACAAGGAUGCAGAGACCACAUCCAAUCC